UUAGAGUUUGAUCAUGGCUCAGGACGAACGCUGGCGGCGUGCUUAACACAUGCAAGUCGGACGAGAAGAGAAAGGAAAGCUUGCUUUUUUUUCAAUUCGAGUGGCAAACGGGUGAGUAACACGUUAACAACCUGCCUUCAGGAUGGGGACAACAGACGGAAACGACUGCUAAUACCGCAUGAUGCCUACGGGCCAAAGAGGGGGACCUUCGGGCCUCUCGCGUCAGGAUAUGCCUAGGUGGGAUUAGCUAGUUGGUGAGGUAAGGGCUCACCAAGGCGACGAUCCCUAGCUGGUCUGAGAGGAUGAUCAGCCACACUGGAACUGAGACACGGUCCAGACUCCUACGGGAGGCAGCAGUGGGGAAUAUUGCACAAUGGGCGCAAGCCUGAUGCAGCCAUGCCGCGUGUAUGAAGAAGGCCUUCGGGUUGUAAAGUACUUUCAGUCGUGAGGAAGGCGGCGUCGUUAAUAGCGGCAUCGUUUGACGUUAGCGACAGAAGAAGCACCGGCUAACUCCGUGCCAGCAGCCGCGGUAAUACGGAGGGUGCGAGCGUUAAUCGGAAUUACUGGGCGUAAAGCGCAUGCAGGUGGUUUGUUAAGUCAGAUGUGAAAGCCCGGGGCUCAACCUCGGAAUAGCAUUUGAAACUGGCAGACUAGAGUACUGUAGAGGGGGUAGAAUUUCAGUGUAGCGGUGAAAUGCGUAGAGAUCUGAAGGAUACCGGUGGCCGAAGGGGCCCCUGACAGAUACUGACACUCAAAUGCGAAGCGUGGGGAGCAAACAGGAUUAGAUACCCUGGUAGUCCACGCAGUAAACGAUGAUAACUGGCUUUAGCGAUAGACAGCUAGAGGCUGAGAGAAAUCAAUAAGUAUCCACCUGGGGAGUACGACGGCAACGUUGAAACUCAAAGGAAUUGACGGGGGCCCGCACAAGCGGAGGAGCAUGUGGUUUAAUUCGAUGAUACGCGAGGAACCUUACCCGGGCUUAAAUGACAGAUGACGUACUUUGAAAGGAGUAUUUCGUAAGACAUCUGUUAAGGUGCUGCAUGGUUGUCGUCAGCUCGUGCCGUGAGGUGUCGGGUUAAGUCCCAUAACGAGCGCAACCCUCAUAUUCAGUUACCAGCACGUAAAGGUGGGGACUCUGGAUAGACUGCCUACGCAAGUAGAGAGGAAGGUGGGGAUGACGUCAAAUCAGCACGGCCCUUACGUCCGGGGCUACACACGUGCUACAAUGGUCGAGACAGAGGGCAGCGAGCCGGUGACGGUAAGCGAAUCUCAGAAACUCGGUCACAGUCCGGAUCGGAGUCUGCAACCCGACUCCGUGAAGUUGGAUUCGCUAGUAAUCGCGCAUCAGCCAUGGCGCGGUGAAUACGUUCCCGGGCCUUGUACACACCGCCCGUCAAGCCAUGGAAGCUGGGGGUACCUGAAGUUCGUGACCGCGAGGAGCGACCUAGGGUAAAACCGGUGACUGGGGCUAAGUCGUAACAAGGUAACCGUAAU
rnacentral:rRNA from 1 species